UCAGAACGAACGCUGGCGGCGUGGAUAAGACAUGCAAGUCGAACGAGAGAAUUGCUAGCUUGCUAAUAAUUCUCUAGUGGCGCACGGGUGAGUAACACGUGAGUAACCUGCCCCCGAGAGCGGGAUAGCCCUGGGAAACUGGGAUUAAUACCGCAUAGUAUCGAAAGAUUAAAGCAGCAAUGCGCUUGGGGAUGGGCUCGCGGCCUAUUAGUUAGUUGGUGAGGUAACGGCUCACCAAGGCGAUGACGGGUAGCCGGUCUGAGAGGAUGUCCGGCCACACUGGAACUGAGACACGGUCCAGACACCUACGGGUGGCAGCAGUCGAGAAUCAUUCACAAUGGGGGAAACCCUGAUGGUGCGACGCCGCGUGGGGGAAUGAAGGUCUUCGGAUUGUAAACCCCUGUCAUGUGGGAGCAAAUUAAAAAGAUAGUACCACAAGAGGAAGAGACGGCUAACUCUGUGCCAGCAGCCGCGGUAAUACAGAGGUCUCAAGCGUUGUUCGGAAUCACUGGGCGUAAAGCGUGCGUAGGCUGUUUCGUAAGUCGUGUGUGAAAGGCGCGGGCUCAACCCGCGGACGGCACAUGAUACUGCGAGACUAGAGUAAUG
rnacentral:rRNA from 1 species